rnacentral:rRNA from 1 species
CCCUUAGAUGUCCUGGGCUGCACGCGCGCUACACUGGAAGUUACGGAUUGAGAUACUACCUUGUCCGAAAUGGUCCGGGUAAUCACCUAAAAGCUUGUCAUAAUUGGAAUGGAUUAUUGUAACUAGUAAUCCUGAACGAGGAAUUCCUAGUAAGUCCCAGUCAACAGCUGGUAUUGAUUACGUCCCUGCCCUUUGUACACACCGCCCGUCGCUACUACUGAUUGGACGUUUAAGCAAGAUUUUUAAACACUGACAGUGUGUAGUUCACGCUAUACUACAGUGAGAAGAAGAAGAUCGAGCUUACUUGUCUAGAGGAAGUAAAAGUCGUAACA